rnacentral:misc_RNA from 1 species
CCAUGAUUUCCUUGAAGUUAUUACCUUCAUUAUGCAAGAAAGUAAUGAAUCAGUACUAUAUAUAAUUGAUGAAACUUAUAUCUGAUGAAAUGCUGAAAUUAUUUUAUGUAAAUUCAUAUAUCUGUUAUAACAGUAGGAUAAUUGUGUAAUGUACAACAAUAUAACUGAAGAUUGGAUAUUUAUUCAUAAAUUGUCAUAUAAUAUAUAUAACGCUUCAGCAAAUGUUUCUAACCAACUCGGAAUUGACAUUUGCUUGAGAUAACUUAUGGGAGAAAUUACAUAAUUUACAAUUACAUUAGUUGAAAGUGAUUCCAUUUGUACUUUUGAAUUCAUUUAUGCAUUAGAAUUAAAUUAAAAUAUUCAGAAGCUAUUGCCUGUUCAAUUGAAAAUGGAUCAAUUUUAAAACUUGCACUAAAAUCACAUUUGUACCAAAAGUUUUCACGGAUUAGAUGAAGGGGGGACCUUAAUCAAGAAAUUGGCGUAAUAUAUAAAGUAUUAAUUAAAGUUUAAAAUUAAGUAAUAUGAGUGAGAAUGAAUAAUUAAUUAUUAUGAAAAAAAUCGAUGAAAGCAUCACCGACUUAUCUCAUAAUAAACUAGAAAGUCUGCCGUUUCUUCCUAUUAGUGUGAUUUAUGAAUAGAACAAAUUUGUGUGUGAA